rnacentral:sRNA from 1 species
CGGGGCCGAACUAGGAUCGACGGGUGUUCAAAGGCGUUAUUUUUGCCCGGCCUGAGUAUGCCGUGAUUGCUCAAAACCUAUAAGUGCAAACGAUAAUGAAGCACUCGCUAUCGCUGCCUAACCCAUUGACCUCACGGUCAUAAGUUAGAAAGCUACGCGCGGUUGAACCCACCGGGCAACAGAAG